rnacentral:lncRNA from 1 species
GCAAAUAAGCUGGCCAACUUUGAAGUUAGUCACAACUCACUCAAGAAGCAUUGUCCCCAUUUUGGGACCUUCCUGGGUGCGUGUAUUUCAGACACCAACCUUUUUUGAAGGACAUUGAUGUAGCACAAUUUUUACGGUGCCUCUAAGAUAAGCUGAUAUUUUAGCUUCAGUAGGUUGUUGUAAACCAGUUUUUACUAUUAUAUUUUUUUUGUUUCUUUCCAUGUAUGUAACUAUUGUUUAUUGAAGGGCUUAAUAUAAAAUAACACACAAGGAAUCUAGGGCAAAUAUCAUAAGAGUACACUUAUGAAAAACCAUAGAGAAAACAAUAGGGUAAAAACAUUGAAUACUAUUAUAUUUCACUUUUAUGCACACAUUUAAAAACUUAAUAUCAUUAGCACUAUAUAUCCCUCUGUUUCCCCCUUCCUUGCUGCCUCCUCUGCCAAUAAAUGGUUAAAAGCCAUUUAUUUACUUACCCAAUCCAAGAGAUGAUGUCUGUCGGUGAUGGCUCAGCACAAAUUUAAACCUCUUUAGUUUAGAAAAACAUUGCCUCAGAGGGGAUAUGAUAACAUUAUACAAAUAUAUCCAGGGGCCAAUACAAACCAUUGUGUGGAAAUCUAUUCACAAACCGGACUUUACAUAGGACACAAGGACAUGCGUUUAGACUGGAAGAAAGAAGAUUUUGUCUACGGCAAAGAAACAUUUUUAUUUACUGUAAAAAUAACAAGGAUGUGGAAUUCUCUGCCUGAUGAAGUGGUUUUAUCAGAGUCCAUAAAGAUGUUCAAACAACAACUAGAUGCAUACUUGCAAAACCAGAAUAUUCAAGGAUAUAAUUUUUCAGUGUAGGGUAAUAGCUUGAUCCAAGGAUUAAUCUGACUGCCAUUCUGGGGUCAAGAAGGAAUUUUUUUCCUAGUAUGUUGCAAAAUUGGAAGUGCUUCAAACUGGGGUUUUUUGCCUUCUUUUGGAUCAACAGCAAAAAACAAAUGUGAGGAAGGCUGUACUUAAUGUACGCAAGUCUCUUUUCAGCUAUGUAACUGUAUAACUCUACCUCCUCCAACAUCAUGCAACAAUGUGAUCUAAUGUGCAGCGAACGUUGCUAGUGCAUUAGGCCUUCCUCAUAGGAAAUCCUUGAAUCAAUGUUUUCCUAUUGGGUUUAAUUGAUGCAUGAUUUCCUUAUGCAAAGCAUGAGGAUGUCCAGCGUCAGUUAGGCGACUAAAAGCCACUUAGAAAAUAAAUUGGGAGUGUGCAUACACCAUAAAACAAAGUGCCAAUCAGAUGAUCUCUAUGAGACCAUCUGAUUGACAUAGUGGAGUUUUACAUUGCCAUUUUGGCAGAAGCAGCUCCAAUGGCUGUCAGUAUGACACCCACUAGAGGCAUGUUAAACCUGCAGUGAUAGCAUUGCUGUUUCUGCCAAAUGACAAUGUGUUCAGCUGCAGGGUUACAACAGAGGCGACAUAGCACCAAGUCCACUUCAUUGAGUUGGAGUGGUCUGGGUACCUUAAAGUGUUCCUUUAAGAAUAUGCACCCAGACUACUUAUAUUGCAGUCCAACUAAAACAAAAUGCUGUGAAUAUAUCAGUUCUUGUAAAUCUGUAUCUUACUUUUCUGUAAAUAGUUGAUGUUAAGAUUAAUAUUUCUCAAUCAUUGUACUUUUAAGACACUUGUCAUAUUGAGUAUUUAAAUAUGUAUUGCACAUUUUUGAUAUGUCUAAUUUCUCAGCUGGACUGGCAGUUGUUUUAACACUAUUGUCAUGUUUAUAAAUGUUGUUUUUUUUAUAUUUGAGAUUUUAUAAAUAUUAUUGUAAAUCAAAUAAUUUCAGUAAAUGUAAAAAGAAUAAAUUACUAUUUGCAAAUACGUAAAAACAAUCUAAUAGUGACAUUCUUUAACACAAAAAAACACAUUUAAUUUUUGGUAUUUGCACUGCUUUUGUCUCCUUUAUAGUAGUGUGUCAAAAACAUGUUAACAUGCCUAAUAUUCUAACAGUGGUAUGAAUAAACCUGAAAAACCCUAAACUGUCACAUAUUGAUAUUGAUAUAAAUAAAAUUACAUUGUAUAAGAGGCAUAGCCAGAGCAUAAAUAGAAUAGAAUACACACUAAUGAGCAG